rnacentral:rRNA from 1 species
CACGUAGGGCGCAAGCGUUGUCCGGAAUUAUUGGGCGUAAAGAGCUCGUAGGCGGCUUGUCACGUCGGGUGUGAAAGCCCGGGGCUUAACCCCGGGUCUGCAUUCGAUACGGGCUAGCUAGAGUGUGGUAGGGGAGAUCGAAUUCCUGGUGUAGCGGUGAAAUGCGCAGAUAUCAGGAGGAACACCGGUGGCGAAGGCGGAUCUCUGGGCCAUUACUGACGCUGAGGAGCGAAAGCGUGGGGAGCGAACAGG